GCUUGCUUCUCCAGCACAGGGUAGAAUCGAGAGGUUGUCAGAAAGAUGAGCACGGCCCCUGUGCGAGGAUGAUGUGAACUUGUGAAGUGGCACAGAUUUUU
ensembl:snRNA U6 U6 spliceosomal RNA